CUCGACCAAAUGCCACUUCCAUGGCAAAUUUCCUUGUGGUAUGUCGCUCACAUCUGGACACCCUCCCUCAGCAAACACAGAUGAAACAUUCAUAUAUCUGCAAUUUUUAUUUGAUUUUCACAGUGCUCACGGCCAACUGCCAAGCACGAUGUUUUGGUAUUUAGGGUGUAUUCAUAAUUUAGAACUUAGGCCAUUGCUCUCAUAGUGGAAGCUAUUUUGGAGUUCUAUAUAUUUAUCUCUGAAACUCAGCAUCUUAUCAUGCCAUGUACCUCUUACAUAGAGCACCUCUGUUUUGUCAAACAAAUUAUGGUAUAUAUCGAUCUCAAAAGUUUGAUUUACAUAACUGCGCACAUUUGAAAAUUAGUUUUAACUACAGUUUCACACAAUGCAAAUUAUAUCACUUUAUCAAGGAUCAAACCAUCUCGAAAUAUUUUAACAGUGAAAUGCUUCUUUGCUAGGAUUACUAGCAGGGGUAAAAAGGUCCAUAGUGUAGAUCUUUGCAAAUAGAUAUAAUGACAUAGAUUAUGAACGUUGAAUAACAUUUUGCACCUAUUAUACUAUAUUUGCCUUUAUUUACAUAUUUUUCAUAAGCGAAUGAGCAGAUACACUGAAGCAGUAUACUAAAGACAUACAAGAAAUUGAAGUGAAAAAGAUUCAUGCUGAGGAUAACACAAGCAAACUGAUAAAUGCAUUGUGCAAGACUAAAUAGAAAAUACAUCGAUCUGUUUGCCCUGAUGUUGCCUUACUUCUGUGUGCCUUUCUACUAAUCAUCUUCUCCACCUUAGUGACAUUUGGAUGGACAGUGUGAGUGGGAUUAGGAUGUCAUAUAGAUGAGAUAAAAUGCAGGCGAACCUAUGAAAGGUGUGCUGAAGAGAGCUGAUGAUAUUUUAACAUUUUCUGAGUUGCAUGGAAUUGAGCAAUCCAGGCAUCUGUGGGUAUUAUAAUUUCAGCUAAUCCCGUCCCCUCUUGAAGCAUGAUCGAGCAAAAGUGAAACUAAGCUCCCUCAAUGCUAUUUCAAUAGUGAAACUGUCAUUUCCUUGCAGGAGGCAGUCUGUGCAGCACCCUGAAAAUGUUCCUUUAAGCUUUUCCCCUCGUGUAUAUGCUGCUUCUUUCGUCAUGAUCGUUUUGCUCUAAUUUAUGAGAAUUUGCCAUUGCAAAUUUUAUGUCCCAUCCUAUGAUGUCCGUGAUGACAGAAACAAGGUACAACAAGCCCACUUACCAUCCUGCUUGUGUAAUGUGCAUUUUCAGGUGUUGCCAGCAGGAUAGUUCAAAUAUACCAUGAAGAAGCCACUUGCAUGGAUACAGAAGCUGCUGAGGAUAAUUUGAAAUAUAUUAACCAAGAGCUUCACACUAAUAUUUUUUGAGAUACAAUUCUGCCAGCAAGUCUUCACAGUUAAUUACAUUUUUUUUGUUUGUAUACUGCUAUACGAUAAAUAAAGUGAUGCAUGGAAAUUUGUUACGUUUGACCCAAAAGGUAUUUUGCGUCACUUGAUUAUAGUCAAUGACAGCUUAUGGUUACACCAGAAUUUUGCACUAA
rnacentral:lncRNA from 1 species